rnacentral:rRNA from 1 species
UAGAUUGACGCUGGCGGCAGGCCUAACACAUGCAAGUCGAACGGUAACAGGAAACAGCUUGCUGUUUCGCUGACGAGUGGCGGACGGGUGAGUAAUGUCUGGGAAACUGCCUGAUGGAGGGGGAUAACUACUGGAAACGGUAGCUAAUACCGCAUAACGUCGCAAGACCAAAGAGGGGGACCUUCGGGCCUCUUGCCAUCGGAUGUGCCCAGAUGGGAUUAGCUUGUUGGUGGGGUAACGGCUCACCAAGGCGACGAUCCCUAGCUGGUCUGAGAGGAUGACCAGCCACACUGGAACUGAGACACGGUCCAGACUCCUACGGGAGGCAGCAGUGGGGAAUAUUGCACAAUGGGCGCAAGCCUGAUGCAGCCAUGCCGCGUGUAUGAAGAAGGCCUUCGGGUUGUAAAGUACUUUCAGCGGGGAGGAAGGGAGUAAAGUUAAUACCUUUGCUCAUUGACGUUACCCGCAGAAGAAGCACCGGGCUAACUCCGUGCCAGCAGCCGCGGUAAUACGGAGGGUGCAAGCGUUAAUCGGAAUUACUGGGCGUAAAGCGCACGCAGGCGGUUUGUUAAGUCAGAUGUGAAAUCCCCGGGCUCAACCUGGGAACUGCAUCUGAUACUGGCAAGCUUGAGUCUCGUAGAGGGGGGUAGAAUUCCAGGUGUAGCGGUGAAAUGCGUAGAGAUCUGGAGGAAUACCGGUGGCGAAGGCGGCCCCCUGGACGAAGACUGACGCUCAGGUGCGAAAGCGUGGGGAGCAAACAGGAUUAGAUACCCUGGUAGUCCACGCCGUAAACGAUGUCGACUUGGAGGUUGUGCCCUUGAGGCGUGGCUUCCGGAGCUAACGCGUUAAGUCGACCGCCUGGGGAGUACGGCCGCAAGGUUAAAACUCAAAUGAAUUGACGGGGGCCCGCACAAGCGGUGGAGCAUGUGGUUUAAUUCGAUGCAACGCGAAGAACCUUACCUGGUCUUGACAUCCACGGAAGUUUUCAGAGAUGAGAAUGUGCCUUCGGGAACCGUGAGACAGGUGCUGCAUGGCUGUCGUCAGCUCGUGUUGUGAAAUGUUGGGUUAAGUCCCGCAACGAGCGCAACCCUUAUCCUUUGUUGCCAGCGGUCCGGCCGGGAACUCAAAGGAGACUGCCAGUGAUAAACUGGAGGAAGGUGGGGAUGACGUCAAGUCAUCAUGGCCCUUACGACCAGGGCUACACACGUGCUACAAUGGCGCAUACAAAGAGAAGCGACCUCGCGAGAGCAAGCGGACCUCAUAAAGUGCGUCGUAGUCCGGAUUGGAGUCUGCAACUCGACUCCAUGAAGUCGGAAUCGCUAGUAAUCGUGGAUCAGAAUGCCACGGUGAAUACGUUCCCGGGCCUUGUACACACCGCCCGUCACACCAUGGGAGUGGGUUGCAAAAGAAGUAGGUAGCUUAACCUUCGGGAGGGCGCUUACCACUUUGUGAUCAUGACUGG